rnacentral:tRNA from 1 species
UAGAUUGAAGCCAGUAAUAGGGUAUUUAGCUGUUAACUAAAUUUUCGUAGGUUUGAUUCCGGCCAAUCUAG